AAAGUGAAGCAGGAAGCAUCACAAUACCAGAUCUUAAAUUAUACUACAGAGGUACUGUAACAAAAACAGCAUGGUAUUGGCAUCAAAACAUAGAGACCAAUGGUACAAAAUAGAAGACACAGAGACAAACCACAUAAAUACAGUUGUCUCAUACUAGACAAAGGUGCCUAAAAAAUACACCCGAGAAAAGAUAGCCUCUUCAACAGAUGGUGCUGGGAAAACUGGAAAUCCAUAUAUAGCAAAAUGAAAUUAAACCUCUAUCUCUCACCCUGCACAAAAAUCAAUUUAAAGUGGAUCAAGGACUUAGGCACUAGAACAGAGACCCUGAGCCUAAUAGAAUAAAAAUAGCCCCAAAUCUACCAUGUCAGAUUAGGAACUGACUUCCUUACCAAGACUCCGAAAGUGUGAGAAGUAAAAUCAAGAAUCAAUAAAUGGGAUGGAAUAAAACUAAAAAGCUUCUUAUCAGCAAAGGAAAUAAUUGAUAACUUUAUUAUGGUUUGAAUGUGAGGUGUCCCCCAAAAGCUCAUGUGUGAGACAAUGCAAGAAAGUUCAGAGAAGAAAUGAUUGGUUGUGAGAGUCUUAACCCAAUCAGAAUUAAUCCCCCAAUGGGGAUUAACUGAGUGGUAAUUGAAGUGGUAGGGUGUGGCUGGAGGAAGUGGUUCGUUGAGGGUAUGGCUAUGGGGUAUAUAUUUUGUACCUGGAGAGUGGAGUUUUUCUCUCUCUGCUUCCUGAUCACCAUGUGAGCUGCUUCACUCUGCCUCACUCUUCUGCCAUGAUGUCCUGCCUCACCUUGAGCCCUGAGGAAUGGAGAUAGCUUCUUAGGAACUGAGACCUCUGAAAUAAACCUUUCUUCCUCUACAGUUGUUCUUGUUGGGUCUUUUAGUCACACAAAAAAUCUGACUAAAACAAACAUGAAGAGAAAGCCUAUAGAAUGGAAGAAAAUCUUUACCACAUACACCUCAG
rnacentral:lncRNA from 1 species